GUGGAUUAGAUACCCUGGUAGUCCACGCCGUAAACGAUGGAUGCUAGCCGUUGGCGAGCUUGCUCGUCAGUGGCGCAGCUAACGCAUUAAGCAUCCCGCCUGGGGAGUACGGUCGCAAGAUUAAAACUCAAAGGAAUUGACGGGGGCCCGCACAAGCGGUGGAGCAUGUGGUUCAAUUCGAAGCAACGCGCAGAACCUUACCAACCCUUGACAUGUCCAGUAUGGGUUUCAGAGAUGAGACCCUUCAGUUCGGCUGGCUGGAACACAGGUGCUGCCCGUUCGUCGACAGCU
rnacentral:rRNA from 1 species